UACGUAGGGGGCAAGCGUUGUCCGGAUUUAUUGGGCGUAAAGAGCGUGUAGGCGGCCUGGUAGGUCCGCUGUGAAAACUCGAGGCUCAACCUCGAGACGUCGGUGGAAACCGUUUGGCUAGAGUCCGGAAGAGGAGAGUGGAAUUCCCGGUGUAGCGGUGAAAUGCGCAGAUAUCGGGAAGAACACCCGUGGCGAAGGCGGCUCUCUGGGACGGUACUGACGCUGAGACGCGAAAGCGUGGGGAGCGAACAGG
rnacentral:rRNA from 1 species